rnacentral:tRNA from 1 species
GCUCUUAUCGUCUAGUGGUUAGGACGUUGCCCUUUCACGGCAACAACACGGGUUCAAAUCCCGUUAAGAGUG